AUUGAACGCUGGCGGCAUGCCUUACACAUGCAAGUCGAACGGCAGCACGGGGGCAACCCUGGUGGCGAGUGGCGAACGGGUGAGUACUGCAUCGGAACGUACCCAGUAGUGGGGGAUAACUAGUCGAAAGAUUAGCUAAUACCGCAUACGCACUGAGGUGGAAAGCGGGGGAUCGCAAGACCUCGCGCUAUUGGAGCGGCCGAUGUCCGAUUAGGUAGUUGGUGGGGUAAAAGACUACCAAGCCGACGAUCGGUAACUGGUCUGAGAGGACGACCAGUCACACUGGGACUGAGACACGGCCCAGACUCCUACGGGAGGCAGCAGUGGGGAAUUUUGGACAAUGGGCGCAAGCCUGAUCCAGCAAUGCCGCGUGCAGGAAGAAGGCCUUCGGGUUGUAAACUGCUUUUGUACGGAACGAAACGGUCCUGGUUAAUACCCGGGGCUAAUGGCGGUACCGUAAGAAUAAGCACCGGCUAACUACGUGCCAGCCGCCGCGGUAAAAC
rnacentral:rRNA from 1 species